CUGUUGUCUUAAAUCUUUAGGUCUGAAUGCUUCUGAAUACGUAUUCCUUCUGGUAUAGCUGAUUAUUGCUUAUCUGGAUCCAAAGCUGAAACUCAUGUACUCAAGUCUUAAUAUAUGAAACCACUUCAAACUCACUGAACAGGGUAAUCUAAAAUGAAUCUACAGUUCACUGAGCCUUUCACUUCAAAUGUUUCUCCAUUGGUUGCCAUGCUGUAUGGUUAUAGGGCAUUACAUAAGAACGUAAAGAAUUCCCAAAACAUGCCAGAAUCUAGAAAAUUCACUGGAAGCUGGAUUUUUCAACACACAGAGACAAGAGGGUUGUCUCCAAAGCACCUUUACUCCCCAAAGCACCUGAGGGCAGCACAAGAAGCAAUGGGUGGAAGCUUGUUAAAAAGAAAUCCCGCUUGGAACUCGGGAAAAAUUUCCUGAUAGUGCAAGUAAUCAAUCAUUGGAACAGCUUGCUUCCCAGAGUUGUGACUGCUCCAUUGCUGGAGAUCUUCAAGAAAAGUUGGACAUUCAUUUGUCUGGGAUGUUAUAAGGACUCCUGUCUUGCACAUAGGGCUAGACUAGAAGCCCCCCAAGAUCCCUUGCAGCCCUGUAAUUCUAUGAUUCUAUGAUAUUAGUUCUUAAUGGUUGGGCUGCAAAGACUAGAGGCCAGCUACAAUCACAGAGAAGCCACUAAAGCAGGGGUGUCAAACUUGCAACGUCACGUGACAUGUGAUGUAUCGUAACUUUUUUCCAUUGCCGGCAAUGGGAUGGGCAUGGUUUUGCCAUGACACAUCUGGCCUGUGGGCCAGCAGUUUGACACCGCUGCACUAGAGCCUCUAUGGGUUUCAUUCCCACCAAUGCUUCUUCUUCUGAGUUGAUGGUUGAUUCAGGACAGGAUUACAAGGAGGAGGGUGCAGUAGUAGGAUGGUUUAUUUCACUUUCUAUGCUUUGUUCUACUGAAAGUUGACAUUUGAAGUACUAUAUCUGAGCUGCAAACUCUGGACAAUAACUAGAUGUGAUGGUAAAGAAAUAGAGGAGGAAAAGUGAUGUUUCCUAUUCUCUAGUCAUUAACUGGAUCAUUCACCAAAGAUCAUUCACCAGUGAAAGUAACCCUUCAUUCCUGGUUAUUCUGUGAUAUCCCUUAUGUGAGAGGCAAGGAGUGGAAGGAAGGAGCCUAGCAGAACUCAUAUGUUGUGAACCUCUAAACUCUGUCUCCCCUCCUGUCACUAUAUUUAUGCCUCUAGUGGUUCAUUAAGAAGAUAAAUGUUCAGAAUGACUCAGAACAACUUCUUAGUGAGCAAAUUAAACAUAUAUGUGAUUGGGUCUCCACCUGAAUUGCUAAGGGAUAUUUGGCUCCUAACAGUUUUUUUGUAGGCUUGAUAUAAUCUCUUUCCACUCUGUUCCAAUAACACUUACCUAGCCUGUAGGUUAUGAAAUUGAGAAGAGAAAGGUGACAAUUGAAAUUCAGCUCCAUCAACAGGGCUGAAUAUACAGGGACUCAUAUCCAGACUUUUAAGAACAAAAUUCACCAAGCCACUCUCUUGAGUGGAAAAAUGUGUUGUGUUUACUUUCUCUUGUCUUUUGAAUGUUGCUAAAUUUCAAAUGUAUUUUUUUGCCCUUUUAAUGAAGAGGUUGCCUUGUUGGUCUGCAUUAUUACUAUUGUUGCUGUUGUUGCUGCUACAGAUAUUAUUUUUCAUUCUUAUCAUAGUUUCAUUUAUUUUCUGCCUGUCUGUUUAAUAAUUGUUAUUAUCUUUUAAGGGUUUCCAUUAUGGGCUUCAAUUUUGUGAGAGUGGUGCUUUCAGCUGAAAAAAAAAGAACAUCAAUGAAAAAAUUCAGAAAUAAAGUAACUUUAAACAUGAA